rnacentral:lncRNA from 1 species
AGUUACAAGUUGCUGGAGGGCAGCUGGUAUUAACUCAUCACCAGGGAGAGAGCACAGACAGGCAGGGGCAUGUAGUGCUCACUGGUCCUGUUCCUUCUCAUCCUUCCAGCAACUCCAAGAAAACAAUCUGAACCUAAGACAACAGACGCAGCUGCACCUGGGACAGCAGACACAGCUGGGCCUGGGACAAUGGACACAGCUGUACCUAGAAAAGCAGAAACAGCUGUGCCUGGGAAAAGGAACACAGCUGUGCCUGGAACAGCAGACCCAGCUUCACCUGGGACAGCAGACACAGCAGAACCUAUGAGAACAACCACUCCAACAGUUCUGGCCUCCUGGCCUUCUCUCACCCAGAGCACCAACAGCACCCAGCCCACGGCUCUUACCAGCCCCCUCACCAGGAUCCUGCUCUGCAACAUCCACUUCCUGCUCCCGAUCUCCCUGAAGGGGCUGCUGCUCGUGGGCCUGCUCUGCACUGUGCUGCAAGUGAGCAGUGCUAAGGGGGCCUCCAGGGGGAAAUAAAGUCACAGCCUGAGCCGGGGAACCGCAGCUCCCACACCAUCAACACCCUCGGAGGGGGCAAGCAGAACCUCUGGCCUCCUAUCAGGAGCAGAUAAAAGAAAGGACAUCCCCCUUGCACACUGAUUCCUUGGAGGCAUCUGCAUCUCACCUUCAUGGAUCCUCCCUCAGGCCUCCUUUCCUUGUGGCUCCAGGAUGACCCUGUCAGAGAUACUGGACUAUCGUUCAGUUGCAGAGGCCCCAGGGCCUGUCUGGACUUUUCCAUCCCAAGAGGGGCUCGGCUCUAUCCCCUUUGUGCCUGUGACCCUCUCCAUCCCCCACCCGGCUCAGAACUGGCACAGCCACCACCAACCACUCCUGAUUCAACCCAAGCUUCGCCCUUUCCACCUCUCGAGCUGUGCAACAACAAAUGCAGGAUGCUCAGCCCUCAUGUGUCAGUCCCCUCAAUUCACUUGUAAUUAAAUAACAACACACCUCUUUUUCUAAUUUUCAAAGGUGUAUAUAUUUCCCCUCAAUAAAGUUGUUAGGAUUAUUUUUCUCUUCCACUUACAUUCUUCCUGAACUCUGCCUGCUCUUUUUUCUUCCAUAUUUUACUUUAAAUACUUUUUUUUGAAUUACUAUAUUUCUUUUCUUAGCUCCUUUUUUUGGAGAGAUCUUGUUGUCUUAACUUCUCUAAGAAGGAGGGGAAUUUUCCAUCUGAACUCUUCCUCUAUUGCCUUGAGCACUUCCUCUCCUGAGACGGGUUCUUCAACUGCCAUUUGCUAGUGUUCAUUUCUUCUCCUUGAUCUCAUCAGCUGUGAACAGGUGCUGGUGUGCUUUAUAACUUUUCUCUGAAUGAGGUUGAAGAUUGGCCAAGAGUAGUGUCAGGAGCCAUGGAGGCAGAGCCAUGGAGGGCAGAGCAUGGAGGGCAGAGUGUGGAAGGCAGAGCCAUGGAGGGCAGAGGGUGGAGGGCAAUGUGGAGGGCAGACCGUGGAAGGCAGAGCCAUGGAGGGCAGAGCAUGGAGGGCUAUUGACACAGUGGAAAGUUUGUUUUCGGGAACACUCACCACUUGCCACAUCUUGACUACCUGUGUCCAUAUGGUUCAUGUGUUGAGAAAGGGCAAGACCUCAGGCUCCAGCAGCCUGCAUGCUGCUAAGCAUAAGAGAACAGCCUGUGUUGUUGCAAUGUGAACCAUGGUCACACAGGCUGGUUGCUAUUGUCAUCUGGAGGCUUCUUCACCCACGAGUCUGGAGCAUGGGCUGGGGUGAUCCAAGACAGCUCUGCUGGGACUGUUGCCCAGAGACCCUACAUGUGGCCUCUCUGUGACAGCUGGGUUCUAAAAGGGAAUAUCUGCAGACCUUCCAGAGGGCAAGCGUUUCAAUAGACUGAAGAGGGAGCUGCAGGGUUUCUUCUGACUUAGCCUUGGAAGCCAUACGGAGGCCCUCUUGCAUUCCCCAUGGGGGCAAAUAUUGGUUCUUGCAGGGUGGAAAAAUAUUUUUACUCUUUCUAGAUACAAAACAGAGAUAUAGAUGGAUGGAUGGAUAGAUAGAUAGAUAGGUAGAUAGAUAGAUAGGUAGGUAGGUAGAUAGAUAGAUAGAUAGAUAGAUAGAUAGAUAGAUAGAUAGACAGGUGAAUGGAUGGAUGUACAAUACAUCUUUGGUAUUAACAUUUCAUGAGGGGAGAUAUUUAGGGAUAUUCUUUUUUUAGGGAUAUUCAUUGUUAUCUUAGGAUAACAAUGAAAAAAUGUUGAGAAACACUGUUCUAGUCCACAAGUUGAAACAGUCACAACCCAGCCAGACCCAAGGGGAGGGGACCUAAGCCACAACUCUUCAUGGAAGGAGUAUCAAGAAAUUUGCAGCCAUGUUUUUAAACUGCCUUGUGGAAGAAUCAUAAUGUAGCGCCUUCAUGUCACAUAUAAGAAUAGCGGGACGUGAAGGGGUGAAGCCACCUGGUCCCCAGUCACAAGGCCAGAGAGCAGAGUUGAUUCUGCCUCUGAAUGGCAGCCUGGAGCUGGCCCACACAGCAUCCCUGCAGGCCCAUCUGUGCACUUUAGAAGGUCACUUCCCAAGCCUGCUGGGGGCACCAUAUGGUCCCAAGAAUAAAAAUGAGGCCCUGAAACACCUAUCCUUUACUCAGAGGUCACAGUCCAGCAGCCAUUACUUGCACAGACAUGUCUUGUUUGGGUUCAGUGGGUGAAUGGUUAAACAAAUUAUUUUACACCCAUGCAAUGAAAUCCUGCUGAGCAAUAGGAAGGAAUCAGCUAUUGGUUGUGGUAAGUGCAACCACUUGUAUGGAUCUCAAGGCUCAGUGAAUUAAAAAGUCAAUCUCAAAAUAUUACAUACUGCAUAAUUUCAUUUGUCCUCAAAAGGAUGACACUGUAGAGAUGGAGAACAGAUUAGUGGUUUCCAGGGGACAGGAAUGGGAUAAGGGUGCAAAUACAAGGGACAGCAUGAGGGAGAUCCUUGUGAUGAUGGAUUGGUUCUGUAUUUUGACGGGGGUGGUAGUUACCUGGAUCUGUAAAAUUGCAUGGAACUCUACACAAACAUAUCCAUAAACCAAUGUAUGUUAAAAACGGUGAAAACUGAACAAAGUCUGCAGUCUAGCUAACAGUAUUGUAACAAUGCUGGUUUCCUGGUUUGGGUCUUGUCCUACAGUUAUAUAAUACAUCACCAUUGAAAGACACUAGAUGAAGGAUUCACAGGACUCUAUGUUAUAUUUGCAAUGUUAAGCCUAUAAUCAUUUCAAAAUAAAAGUUUCAAAAAUUAAAACCUCCAGGGGCUCCCUAUGGCCUCCAGAACACAAUUCAAACUUCUUGGUCUGCCAUGAAGCCCUUUCAGACUGAGGCUCCAGCCCCAUAUCUCACUCCUCCCUCACAUGCACUCUGCACACAUGGUAAUGGUAACGUAGCUCCUGAAGGUCCUGGUAUCCACCAUGCUCUAUGACUCUUCCCUACCAUUGUCUGGGACAAUCAUCCCCCAGUCUUCUGCCCUAUUUUUAUAACUCAAGCCCUCAAUUUUCCUUCUCCGCUUGGCCCUCAUGGGAGUGCCUCCCUUCUGUGCCCCCACAGAGCACUGUGCAGAACCCUGACACAAAUUCUAACACACCGCAUCGCUAUUGUUAGUCUACAUCUUAGACUUCCCUUCUAAAGGAGUAGGGACUCUGCAUAGUUUAAGUCCUUAUCUGUAAUGCCCAGAACAAUGCACCAUAGACACACAAUAAAAGUUUAUUGAAUGAAUGAGUAAAUAAAGGGAAAAAAGAAAGGAAGAAUAGGGGAAAAAAAGGGAGUAAGGGAGAAGGGAAAAUUCAAAGCAUGGAGAAGCCACUGUUUGUUUCUCCUGCACCUGCUGUCUGCCAUCUGUCUACUCUUUCUUAACUCUUCUCUUCUGGCUUCUGCUGUCAUUGCUCUGUUGAUCUGCUCUUCUGAACUUCAUUAGUGACCUUGUGAAUGAUAAGUUCAAUAGCCUCCUCUCAAUCCCGGUCCUCCUCCACCUCUCUAGCUCUGCUCUCCUCCUUGAAACAUUCAUGGCUCUUGACUUCUCAUCUUCCACCUGUUUGAUUCUGCUCCAGCACCUUGAUCAAUGUCUUCCUCCUACCCUUUGUCUUUAAAUGCAGGUGCCCCGAGGGCUCUGUCCUUGGUUCUGAACUCUUCCCUCCAUGUUUUCACUUCUUGCUGGGUUCCAGUUAAUCUCUCUACACACAUUCCUCUCCAGCCCUCAACACUCUGCUAACCCACAUCUCUAGCUAUCUGCUAGACCUCUCUGCCUGAUGAUUCCAAACACACAGAAAACUAAGCUCUGCAUCAUCCAAGCCUGCUCUUGACUUUCCUACUUCUGUCAAUGAUGCCCGAUUCCUCUGGUUUUCCAGGCUUAAGACUCCGGACUCCCAGAUUCUUCCUUUCAGACUUUGCUACAUCUGCUAGGCAAGUCCUCCUAAAGCACAUCUGCAAUCCCAUCUUGUUCUGCUCAAAUCCAUCCCACCAUAGCUAAUCAAAGUUUAAGUAAGAGUUGAGUCCUAAGCCUCCUGAACCUGCCACCACCUGAGUUCUUCUAGAUUAGUUCCAUCUGGCCUGCCACAGGAAAAUUUCACUCCAUUGGAAUCUUAGACACAUCCUACCAUGAGCAUCUGUAUGUGAACAGUACAGUCCAUUUGCUGAUAGGUCUUCUAUAAGUGACUAUUGUUAUGAAGAUUAUUUCCCGCCUCUCUGCUUUCACUUAUGCUGUUUCUCUGUCCUCUCUCUCUCCCUGUUGCUCCAUCCCUGCUCCGCUGAAAUCCUAUACCUCCUUCAACAUCAACAUGAAUGUCACCUUCUUUCCCUGACCUGGCCAGCUUGGCAUGAUAUUCUCCUCACCAACCCCCUGACAUCAGGAAGCAUCUCUUGUGGCUCUAGAGUUCUUCCUAUGCUGUAAUGACUUGGGAGCUUAUCCUUCUCAUAAAAUGAAUCAUAAGCUCCUUUCUUGCUCAUCAUCAUAUUUCCCGGGUUAAUAUAAUUAAUAUGGGCCUUGUUAGAUUGAAUUUCUCUUUCAGCAUGAGUCCUGGGCCAGCCCCAUCUUUCCCCUAGUCACCAUGCAUGAUGGAGCUGGGAGCCCCACCAGAGCUCAAGUUCAGAGCACGGCAGCUCUGCCUAAGCACUCGGCACUCAGAGGGUCACUCCAUGUGCUCUGGACACUGGCAUCACUAGCUCAGGAUGAGCUCAGGCCUGGGGGCAGAGGGGGAGCACUGGUCCAGAUGUAGGUAGCAAGUGGAGAUGGUGAUGCUUGCUUGUGGCAGACUGUGGGAGUCCUCCCCACAAACUUUAGGGAAACAGAGUAAUUGACAAACAUUCAGAAAACCAACUGAGCUCAUUCCCGAGCCAGGGGUCACCAGUAGUGGUGAUAGCACUGUGCACUUCAAGUGUGGACAAGUAUCCUUCACCUCUGUGCCCUCCAUCCUGUCUUUGAAAAACGAUAUCUGCUCUGCCUGUGGAAAAGGUUAAUUGCUAACAGGUGGUCUCAGCCAGACUUCUAAAGUGGACAGAACUGACUCUGUUGACCUUGUGCAUUGGACACCUCCAGGUGGGGGAAUUCCAGGAGUGAUAUCAGGGGCACCCACCAGCUCCUUCUCCCUUUACUGUUUCAACUCGCCCCAGAACUUUAACCUGGAGCAGCUCAUCCACGGCCCACCCAGGCAGAGAUGUUCUGAGCCCAGCCACACACUGCCUGGUUACAGGGAGAGAAGGGGCCUUAAAGCCAGGGAGACCCAAGGGGCGUCAGAAGACGAGAGGAGCCCUGAGCAUGUGGGACACUGGGCAACUGCAUGAGCAAGCUCUGCCGGGACCAAGCUCCCUUGGGGUUGUCCCAGAGAAGAGAUGGAGCUCUGUGAGCCUAAAGGCUGGGGCUGUGAGGGGUGUGUCCUCAGGGAGACUCCUGUCUGCAGGAAGGAGGUAGUUAUUGCCCUGGGGGAAACUGGCCUGAGAAGCAUUUGUGCCAAGAAGAAUGAAGGGCCAGGCUCCUCCAGAAAAUUUUUUCCCUCCCUUCCUCCGUCCUUUUCUCUCUCUCUCUCUCUCUCUCGCUCUCUCUCUCUCUCUCUCUCUGUCUCUCUCUCUCUCUCUCUCUCUCUCUCUCUGAGACAGGGCUCUCUAUGUUGCCCAGGCU